rnacentral:rRNA from 1 species
GACGAACGCUGGCGGCGUGCUUAACACAUGCAAGUCGAACGGAAAGGCCCUGCUUUUGUGGGGUGCUCGAGUGGCGAACGGGUGAGUAACACGUGAGUAACCUGCCCUUGACUUUGGGAUAACUUCAGGAAACUGGGGCUAAUACCGGAUAGGAGCUCCUGCUGCAUGGUGGGGGUUGGAAAGUUUCGGCGGUUGGGGAUGGACUCGCGGCUUAUCAGCUUGUUGGUGGGGUAGUGGCUUACCAAGGCUUUGACGGGUAGCCGGCCUGAGAGGGUGACCGGCCACAUUGGGACUGAGAUACGGCCCAGACUCCUACGGGAGGCAGCAGUGGGGAAUAUUGCACAAUGGGCGGAAGCCUGAUGCAGCAACGCCGCGUGCGUGAUGACGGCCUUCGGGUUGUAAACCGCUGUCGCCUGUGACGAAGCGUGAGUGACGGUAAUGGGUAAAGAAGCACCGGCUAACUACGUG